rnacentral:lncRNA from 1 species
CAUGGUUGACAUAUGGGUCAUUAGUCAACAAGGUGUAGUUGCUUAUGAUGUCCAUGGAUGACAUAUGGGUCAUUGGUCAACAUGGUGUAGUUGCUUAUGGUGUCCAUUGAUGACAUAUGGGUCAUUGGUCAACAUGGUGUAUUUGCUUAUGGUGUCCAUGGAUGACAUAUGGGUCAUUGGUCAACAUGGUGUGUAGUUGCUUAUGUUGUCCGUGGAUGAAAUAUGGGUCAACAUGGUAGUUGCUUAUGGUGUCCAUGGAUGACAUAUGGGUCAUUGGUCAACAAGGUGUAGUUGCUUAUGAUGUCCAUGGAUGACAUAUGGGUCAUUGGUCAACAUGGUGUAGUUGCUUAUGGUGUCCAUUGAUAACAUAUGGGUCAUUAGUCAACAUGGUGUAUUUGCUUAUGGUGUUCAUGGAUGACAUAUAGGUCAUUGGUCAACAUGGUGUGUAGUUGCUUAUGUUGGUCAACAUGGUGUAGUUGCUUAUGGUGUCCAUGGAUGACAAACGGUUCAUUGGUCAACAUGGUAGUUGCUUAUGGUGUGAUGGUAUCACCCAUGGAUAACAUAUAGGCAAUUGGUCAACAUAUAGUUGCUUUUGGUUUCCACGUAUGACAUAUGUGUCAAUGGUCAACAGGGUAGUUGCUUAUGGUGUCCAUGGUUGACAUAUGGGUCAUUGGUCAACAUGGUGUAGUUGCAUAUGGUGUCCGUUGAUGACAUAUGGGUCAUUGGUCAACAUGGUAGUUGCUUAUGGUGUCCAUGGAUGAUAUAUGGGUCAUUGGUAAACAUGGUGUGUAGUUGCUUAUGUUGUCCAUGGAUGAAAUAUGGGUCAACAUGGUAGUUGCUUAUGGUGUCCAUGGAUGACAUAUGGUUCAUUGGUCAACAAGGUGUGGUUGCUUAUGAUGUCCAUGGAUGACAUAUGGGACAUUGGUCAACAUGCUAUAGUUGGUUAUGGUGUCCAUUGAUGACAUAUGGGUCAUUGGUCAACAUGGUGUAUUUACUUAUGGUGGCCAUGGAUGACAUAUGGGUCAUUGGUCAACAUGGUGUGUAGUUGCUUAUGUUGGUCAACUAGGUGUAGUUGCUUAUGGUGUCCAUGGAUGACAUAAGGGUCAUUAGUUAACAUGGUGUAGUUACUUAUGGUGUCCAUGGAUGACAUAUGGGUUAUUGGUCAACAUGGUAGUUGCUUAUAGUGUCCAUGGAUGUUAUAUGGGUCAUUGGUCAACAAGGUGUAGUUGCUUAUGGUGUCCAUGGAUGACAUAUGCUUCAUUGGUCAACAUGGUGUAGUUUCUUAUGGUGUCCAUGAAUGACAUAUGGGUCAUUGGUCAACAUGGUGUAGUUGCUUAUGGUGUCCAUUGAUGACAUAUGGGUCAUUGGUCAACAUGUAGUUGCUUGUGGUGUCCAUUGAUAACAUAUGGGUCAUUAGUCAACAUGGUGUAUUUGCUUAUGGUGUUCAUGGAUGACAUAUAGGUCAUUGGUCAACAUGGUGUGUAGUUGCUUAUGUUGGUAACCAUGGUGUAGUUGCUUAUGGUGUCCAUGGAUGACAUACGGUUCAUUGGUCAACAUGGUAGUUGCUUAUGGUGUGAUGGUAUCACCCAUGGAUAACAUAUAGGCAAUUGGUCAACAUGUAGUUGCUUAUGGUUUCCACGUAUGACAUAUGUGUCAUUGGUCAACAUGGUAGUUGGUUAUGGUGUCCAUGGAUGACGUAUAGGUCAUUAGUCAACAUGGUGUAGUUGCUUUUGGUGUCCAUGGAUAACAUAUAGGUCAUUGGUCAACAUGGUAGUUGCUUAUGGUGUCCAUGUAUGACAUAAGGGUCAUUAGCAAACAUGGUGU